rnacentral:rRNA from 1 species
AGUGAACGCUGGCGGUAGGCCUAACACAUGCAAGUCGAACGGCCGCACAGUAAGAGCUUGCUCUUACGGGUGGCGAGUGGCGGACGGGUGAGGAAUACAUCGGAAUCUACUUUUUCGUGGGGGACAACGUAGGGAAACUUACGCUAAUACCUCAUACGUCCUACGGGUGAAAGCAGGGGAGCUUCGGACCUUUCGCGAUUGAUUGAGCCGAUGUCGGAUUAGCUAGUUGGCGGGGUAAAGGCCCACCAAGGCGACGCUCCGUAGCUGGUCUGAGAGGAUGAUCAGCCACACUGGAACUGAGACACGGUCCAGACUCCUACGGGAGGCAGCAGUGGGGAAUAUUGGACAAAGGGCGCAAGCCUGACCCAGCCAUACCGCGUGGGUGAAGAAGGCCUUCGGGUUGUAAAGCCCUUUUGUUGGGAAAGAAAAACAGCGGAUUAAUACCCCGCUGUUCUGACGGUACCCAAUGAAUAAGCACCGGCUAACUUCGUG